rnacentral:rRNA from 1 species
AACGAACGCUGGCGGCGCGUCUUAAACAUGCAAGUCGAACGGCAGGAAGGGGCUUGCCCCUUCUGAGAGUGGCGGACUGGUGAGUAACACGUGGGUGACAUACCUUUUAGUUGGGGAUAGCUAUUAGAAAUAGUAGGUAAUACCGAAUGUGACCGUACCUGUUAGAGGGGUACGAGGAAAGGAGCUAAGGCUUCGCUAAAAGAAUGGCUCGCGGCCCAUUAUGCUCGUUGGUGAGGUAACGGCCCACCAAGGCGAUGAUGGGUAUCCGGCCUGAGAGGGUGAACGGACACAUUGGGACUGAGAUACGGCCCAGACUCCUACGGGAGGCAGCAGUUAAGAAUAUUCCGCAAUGGACGAAAGUCUGACGGAGCGACGCCGCGUGGAUGAAGAAUGCCGAAAGGUUGUAAAAUCCUUUUAAGCCUGAUGAAUAAGCACAGUAGGGAAUGAGUGUGCGGUGACCGUAGGGCUUGAAUAAGCACCGGCUAAUUACGUG